rnacentral:rRNA from 1 species
CUGCGGCAGCGAACGUAUCACCCAAGACAACUUUGCACAGUUGACGAUUGACGGAGCGGAGCGACGUCAAAGCGUUUUACAACGUUGAGUUGGCUUAGGGAUACGUUCGUUGGGUAGGGGAGCGUUCUGUAAGCCUGCGAAGGUGUGCUGUGAGGCAUGCUGGAGGUAUCAGAAGUGCGAAUGCUGACAUAAGUAACGAUAAAGCGGGUGAAAAGCCCGCUCGCCGGAAGACCAAGGGUUCCUGUCCAACGUUAAUCGGGGCAGGGUGAGUCGACCCCUAAGGCGAGGCCGAAAGGCGUAGUCGAUGGGAAACGGGUUAAUAUUCCCGUACUUGGUGUUACUGCGAAGGGGGGACGGAGAAGGCUAUGUUGGCCGGGCGACGGUUGUCCCGGUUUAAGCGUGUAGGUGUGUGUUCCAGGUAAAUCCGGUUCACUUUAACACUGAGGCGUGAUGACGAGGCACUACGGUGCUGAAGCAACAAAUGCCCUGCUUCCAGGAAAAGCCUCUAAGCAUCAGGUAACACGAAAUCGUACCCCAAACCGACACAGGUGGUCAGGUAGAGAAUACCAAGGCGCUUGAGAGAACCCGGGUGAAGGAACUAGGCAAAAUGGUGCCGUAACUUCGGGAGAAGGCACGCUGACACGUAGGUGAAGUGAUUUACUC